rnacentral:lncRNA from 1 species
CUCUCUUGGUCUUCGGCGGGUACGUGUCUUCCGGCCAGCUCUCUUCCGCUUCUGCUGUCUUGAUGACGCACAGUGCUGGCGCAAGUCGUCUUGCGCCAGGCGACUGGGUCUGAGGAGGCAGGAGUUAUUCAUUCCCUUAAGCUUUCAGGCCGGGGGGAGAAUCUUUCAGGUGGUAGCUGCAAGAACUCUUAGUAUGUUGACCUCACCUCUGCCUUCCACAUACCACUACCAGUGAGGAAUUAGGAAUGCAUGAGAAGAGUGUCCAAGAAGAGUGUCCUCAUUCAUGCAAGGCUUAAGAGAGAAUGCAGGUCAACAUCACCAUGUCAAUCAGAGAAUACUUCUGUUGGGUUGAAUGACUCUCUGCCCCCAGGUGCAGAUGCUGAGAGCACUUUCUAGUCAAGUCCUGCAUGUUCAUUUCUGUCUCAAGUCAGCUUCUCUGAGAAUCCAAUUUAUAAAAAUAUAUUUGUGAAUGUAUAAGUAAAGUGACUUGGAUUUUGUCUACGUACAAGGACUUCUAUGCCUGCAUAAAACAGCUUUCAGAGUGACUAACCAUACCAGUUUGACCAAGACUGUAUUGGCUGCAGCACUUAAAAGCUCACAUCCCGGAAAUCCUUUGGUCCUCGGUGAAUUGGGAUGGUUGGUUACCCUAUUACUGAUGAUUGUAAUUCUCAGCGUAGUUUGGAACCAGCAGCAGCAGCAGCUCCCCAGACCUACUGAAUCAGAAUCUACAUUUUGAUAAGAG